AAAUUUGAAGCAAAAUAUUGCAUAUUAGUUUCGACCUAAUAAAUAGAUAUAUAUAUUAUCCUUAUUUA
rnacentral:tRNA from 1 species